rnacentral:tRNA from 1 species
AAAAUCCGUCGAUUUUAGAUAUCGUGAGGGUUCAAGUCCCUCUAUCCCCA